rnacentral:rRNA from 1 species
UCAUGAAUUAUUUUAAGUAGUACUACAAUAAAAAACUCAUAUGUUAUGGCGGUUUUAAUAAUUUAGAGAAACUCGCUCUUUAAUUGAUAACACCCAUUAAUUUUCACUUAAAAUAAAAAUUUAUAUACCGCCGUUUUCAGACUUUAUUCUAAAAUAAAAUUCUAGUAUAACAAUUUAAAAAAAUCAGGUCAAGGUGUAAUCAAUAUUUAAGGCAGAGUAAGUUACAUUAAAAAUAAUUUAAGGAAAAAAUUAAAAAUUAAAUAUUAGAAAAAGAAUUUAUAUGUAUUUUUAAAUUAAAAUUUCAAAUUGAAUUAACAUAUUAAAACGC